UACGUAGGUGGCAAGCGUUGUCCGGAUUUAUUGGGUUUAAAGGGUGCGUAGGCGGCCCUGUAAGUCAGCGCUGAAAUAUCCCGGCUUAACCGGGGGGUGGCGUUGAUACUGCAGGGCUUGAGUAAAGUUGAGGUUGGCGGAAUUGACGGUGUAGCGGUGAAAUGCUUAGAUAUCGUCAAGAACACCGAUAGUGAAGACAGC
rnacentral:rRNA from 1 species